GGACUUGAGUACGGGAGAGGGAAGUGGAAUUCCUGGUGUAGAGGUGAAAUUCGUAGAUAUCAGGAGGAACACCACGUGGCGAAGGCGACUUCCUGGACCAAUACUGACGCUGAGGCGCGAAAGCGUGGGGAGCAAACAGGAUUAGAUACCCUGGUAGUCCACGCCGUAAACGAUGUGCACUAGGUGUUGCGGGUAUUAACCCCUUCUGUGCCGCAGCUAACGCAAUAAGUCCACCGCCUGGGGACUACGGCCGCAAGGUUAAAACUCAAAGGAAUU
rnacentral:rRNA from 1 species